AUUGAACGCUGGCGGCAGGCCUAACACAUGCAAGUCGAGCGGAUGAAGAGAGCUUGCUCUCUGAUUUAGCGGCGGACGGGUGAGUAAUGCCUAGGAAUCUGCCUGGUAGUGGGGGAUAACGUCCGGAAACGGGCGCUAAUACCGCAUACGUCCUACGGGAGAAAGCAGGGGACCUUCGGGCCUCGCGCUAUCAGAUGAGCCUAGGUCGGAUUAGCCAGUUGGUGAGGUAAUGGCUCACCAAGGCUACGAUCCGUAACUGGUCUGAGAGGAUGAUCAGUCACACUGGAACUGAGACACGGUCCAGACUCCUACGGGAGGCAGCAGUGGGGAAUAUUGGACAAUGGGCGAAAGCCUGAUCCAGCCAUGCCGCGUGUGUGAAGAAGGUCUUCGGAUUGUAAAGCACUUUAAGUUGGGAGGAAGGGCAGUAAGUUAAUACCUUGCUGUUUUGACGUUACCGACAGAAUAAGCACCGGCUAACUUCGUGCCAGCCGCCGCCGUAAUAC
rnacentral:rRNA from 1 species